rnacentral:misc_RNA from 1 species
GGAGCAAACACAAGUGAUUCAACUGCCAUAAGUUUGAUAAGGAUGUUGAGUGAUGGCCCAGAUGUGUCCUUCAAUGGAUCCCCGAUGGUGUCACCAAUAACAGCUGCUUUGCGUGGAUCUGACCCUUUAGGACCAAGAGCUCUUGCAUGUUCAGAAGCGCCAGCCUCAAUGUACUUCUUGGCAUUAUCCCAAGCACCACCAGUGUUGGAUGCAGAGAUGGCAAUCUGAACACCAGAUACGAGUGCUCCAGCUAGAACACCAGAGAGAGUUUCCACACCCAAAAAGAUCCCAACAAUGAGGGGGGUGAGCAUGACAAGUGCACCAGGUGGGAUCAUCUCUUUGAUGGAAGCAUCAGUGGAGAUCUUAACACAGGUAGCAUAGUCUGGCUUGGCAGUGCCCUCAAUCAGACCAGGGAUGGUGUUGAAUUGCCUACGGACCUCCUCAACCAUCUUCAGGGCUGCACUCCCCACACUCUUCAUUGUCAUAGCAGAAAACCAGUAGGGAAGCAUUGCACCAACAAUCAAACCAAUAAAAACUUUUGGUGUCAACACAUCUACUUUUGAAAUUGAAGCACGGCUAACAAAGGCACCAAAGAGGGAAAGGGACACAAGAGCUGCAGAACCAAUGGCAAAACCCUUUCCAAUAGCAGCAGUGGUGUUUCCUGCAGCAUCAAGGGCAUCAGUCCUCUCACGGAUUCUGUGGCUCAUGCCUGCCAUCUCAGCAAUACCUCCAGCAUUAUCACUAAUGGGACCAUAUGCAUCAAUUGCCAAUCCAGUGGCGAUGGUGCUCAGCAUUCCAAGGGCAGCUACUGCAAUACCAUACAUAGCAGCAAAGCUGAAACUGACAAAAAUGCUGACUGCAAUGGCAAAAAUUGGGAUAAUGACAGAUUUAUAUCCCAAAGCAAGCCCAAAAAUAACAUUAGUGGCAGCUCCAGUUCGGCAGGAAUCAGCAACAUCUUGAACAGGGCUGUAUGCAUUGCUAGUGAAGUACUCAGUUACAAAU